UAGUCAAUAUCCCGAUAAGCUGGUUUAAAAGG
rnacentral:piRNA from 1 species